GAUGAAGAACGCAGCGAAAUGCGAUAAGUAAUGUGAAUUGCAGAAUUCAGUGAAUCAUCGAAUCUUUGAACGCACAUUGCGCUCUUUGGUAUUCCGGAGAGCAUGCCUGUUUGAGAAUCAGUAAAUUCAUCAACCGUUUAAUACCGGUUGGAUAUGGGCCCUUUGAGACCUCGCGGUCACAAUGGCCUGAAAAAAAUGUUACGCAACCUUGAACCAACGGUUCUGGAGCAUACGCAUGAAUGGGGAAACUCACCAAUACGUUUGUUCUUUAUGAAGUGUUGGCACAUUGGGAAGUGUGACUCAACUAUUAUCCAGGGUUGACUGGCGUUAGCAAGCCUUCCCUGAACACUUGGUCUCAAAUCAGGUAAGAAAACCCGCUGAACUUAAGCAUAUCAAUAAGCGGAGGA
rnacentral:misc_RNA from 1 species